CCUACGGGAGGCAGCAGUGAGGAAUAUUGGUCAAUGGGCUUACGCCUGAACCAGCCAAGUCGCGUGAGGGAAGACUGCCCUAUGGGUUGUAAACCUCUUUUGUCAGGGAGCAACGCCGGCUACGUGUAGCCGGACUGAGAGUACCUGAAGAAAAAGCAUCGGCUAACUCCGUGCCAGCAGCCGCGGUAAUACGGAGGAUGCGAGCGUUAUCCGGAUUUAUUGGGUUUGAAGGGUGCGUAGGCGGAAUGCCAAGUCAGCGGUAAAAUCGCGGGGCUCAACCUCGCUCCGCCGUUGAAACUGGCGUUCUUGAGUGGGCGAGAAGUAUGCGGAAUGCGUGGUGUAGCGGUGAAAUGCAUAGAUAUCACGAAGAACUCCGAUUGCGAAGGCAGCAUACCGGCGCCCAACUGACGCUGAAGCACGAAAGCGUGGGGAUCGAACAGGAUUAGAUACCCGGGUAGUC
rnacentral:rRNA from 1 species